rnacentral:rRNA from 1 species
AACGCGAAGAACCUUACCUACCCUUGACAUCUGUGGAAUUUAACGGAGACGUUAGAGUGCCGAAAGGAACCGCAAGACAGGUGCUGCAUGGCUGUCGUCAGCUCGUGUUGUGAGAUGUUGGGUUAAGUCCCGUAACGAGCGCAACCCUUGUCCUUAGUUGCCACCACGUAGAGGUGGGGACUCUAAGGAGACUGCUGGUGAAGAACCGGAGGAAGGUGGGGACGACGUCAAGUCAUCAUGGCCUUUAUGGGUAGGGCUACACACGUGCUACAAUGGGCGGUACAGAGGGCAGCGAACUCGCGAGGGGGAGCCAAUCUCAGAAAGCCGCUCGUAGUCCGGAUUGAAGUCUGCAACUCGACUUUAUGAAGUCGGAAUCGCUAGUAAUCGCGAAUCAGAAUGUCGCGGUGAAUACGUUCCCGGGCCUUGUACACACCGUAGUAC